rnacentral:rRNA from 1 species
UACGAAGGGGGCUAGCGUUGCUCGGAAUCACUGGGCGUAAAGCGCACGUAGGCGGACUCUUAAGUCGGGGGCGAAAGCCCAGGGCUCAACCCUGGAAUUGCCUUCGAUACUGGGAGUCUUGAGUAUGGCAGAGGUUGGUGGAACUGCGAGUGUAGAGGUGAAAUUCGUAGAUAUUCGCAAGAACACCAGUGGCGAAGGCGGCCAACUGGGCCAUUACUGACGCUGAGGUGCGAAAGCGUGGGGAGCAAACAGG